AAUUCGGCGUGUAUCGCAUUUACAUGCUUCCAAGUUUUUCAUGUUAUUGUCUCGAACCUCGAAACACUCUUAACCGCAACAACUACAAACAACGGCAAUAGCAGCAGAAGAAAACCCACGCAUCCUCUUUUCGUUGUCCAAAAAUCCCACAAAACCCCGCGCCUACUUCUUCUCCCUUAUCAAAUCCACUCGCCAAUCUCCAAUUUCUUCACUCCUUUAGAUCUUUCUUUCUCUACCAAUUCCUUGCUCUUUGUUUCUUGAUUUUCUUUGCGGCGUGUAAUGUAGUUUACAACCAGGGAGAGAUGGCGGGACAGGUGGUGAAAGUAAAGAGGGACAUAAUACAGGCAUGCAUGACUUGUCCUCUUUGUAAGAAGCUGCUAAGGGAUGCUACCACUAUAUCUUUGUGUCUCCACACGUUCUGCAGGAAAUGCAUAUAUGAAAAGCUCUCAGAUGAAGAAGUAGACUGCUGUCCUGUAUGCAAUAUUGA
rnacentral:misc_RNA from 1 species